UACAGAGGUCCCAAGCGUUUUUCGGAUUCACUGGGCGUAAAGGGUGCGUAGGCGGUCGGGUAAGUCUGACGUGAAAUCGUCGAGCCUAACUCGGAAACUGCGUCGGAUACUAUUCGGCUAGAGGAAUGGAGGGGAGACUGGAAUACUUGGUGUAGCAGUGAAAUGCGUAGAUAUCAAGUGGAACACCAGUGGCGAAGGCGAGUCUCUGGACAUUUCCUGACGCUGUAGCACGAAAGCCAGGGGAGCAAACGGG
rnacentral:rRNA from 1 species